ACUGUCAAUCGCAGAAGGAUGAAGGAAAUACACGUGUUGAACGUGGACAAAAUAACUGACUUCGUCAUGAAAAUAGCUAAGUCAGCAAUCUCUGAUAAAUUGCUGAAGAGGAUCCGUCUCCAUCUGCCAGGAUCGAACACGCUGUUUGACCACGUGCAACGGGAAGACGUUCCGGAUGAGUUGGGAGGAACCGCCGGCCCUAUUGAUACGUUUGCCUAUGAGUUUAUCAGGAGAGCGGAGAAGCUGCGAGACUGG